GCCUCGUCAUCUAAUUAGUGACGCGCAUGAAUGGAUUAAUGAGAUUCCCCACUGUCCCUAUCUGCCAUCUAGCGAACCCACAGCCAAGGGAACGGGCUUGGAAUAAUCAGCGGGGAAAGAAGACCCUGUUGAGCUUGACUCUAGUCCGACUUUGUGAAAUGACUUUCGAGAUAUAGCCUAGGAGGGAGCUAACGCGCCGCUGUAAAACCUCUGCUCGCUUAGCCAUUUUACUUACUCCGUGAAGAAGUGACCAACUCGUUGGUUCUUAGAUUUAAGCACCUAUAUCUUAGGUGCGAGCUUUGCGGAGGACAUGGUCAGGUGGGGAGUUUGACUGGGGCGGUACAUCUGUUAAACAAUAACGCAGGUGUCCUACGGUGAGCUCAAAGAGAACAGAAAUCUCUUGUAGACCAAAAGGGG
rnacentral:rRNA from 1 species